GACGAACGCUGGCGGCGUGCUUAACACAUGCAAGUCGAACGGUGAUGCUCCAGCUUGCUGGAGUGGAUCAGUGGCGAACGGGUGAGUAACACGUGAGCAACCUGCCCCAGACUCUGGAAUAAGCGCUGGAAACGGCGUCUAAUACUGGAUACGAAACUGGCCCGCAUGGGCAUGGUUUGGAAAGUUUUUCGGUUUGGGAUGGGCUCGCGGCCUAUCAGCUUGUUGGUGAGGCAAUGGCUCACCAAGGCGACGACGGGUAGCCGGCCUGAGAGGGCGACCGGCCACACUGGGACUGAGACACAGCCCAGACUCCUACGGGAGGCAGCAGUGGGGAAUAUUGCACAAUGGGCGAAAGCCUGAUGCAGCGACGCCGCGUGAGGGAUGACGGCCUUCGGGUUGUAAACCUCUUUCAGCAGGGAAGAAGCGAAAGUGACGGUACCUGCAGAAGAAGCACCGGCUAACUACGUG
rnacentral:rRNA from 1 species